UCUUUGGCGAAAGUCGCCGACCACCUCAACGAGCGAAAUCGCGCGGCUAAGCGCGCGCAGGCGCGAUGCGCCGAGCUCUACCUCCUCGAGACCCUCGCGUCGAA
rnacentral:RNase_MRP_RNA from 1 species